GCUGCCGGGCCUGGAGGUGCGGAAGUUCGCCGCCGCUGUUCAUUGGCAGGCAGCGCCGCUGUCAUCAUUUCUCAGAAAAGUCAAUUUCAUUUUCACUUACCCACGUCGCGGCAGCGGAAGCAACAAGCGGCUGCGCGUGAGUCUGCUGCUCGCACACCCGGGCGCUCACACUCGAGUGGGGGUCCGGGGGGUGGGGUGCUGGGCGCAAGGUUGGGUUCCGGCCGUAAGCUGGCGGCGGUAGGAGGGGACAGCAGGUACCUACCUGACUCUGCAUCCUAAGGGUCACCUGAAGAAUGGAACAUCCUAGGACCGUUUAACUGGAUGCAUCAGGACUCAUUUCUUUUCAAGGGAGUCGAGAAAGGACAGUGAUUACUUGGCCAUGCAGCAACUGACCUCUCCAUGAUUGAAACUUAAAGAUACAUUCAAGGGGACACAGGUUCGAGCCCUGGUCCAGGAAGAUUCCACAUGCCACAGAGCAACUAAGCCCAUGCGCCACAACUACUGAGCCUGCACUCUAGAGCCCACAAGCCACAACUACUGAGCCCGCAUGCCACAACUACUGAAGCCCGUGUGCCUAGAGCCGGUGCUCCACAACAAGAGACGCCACUGCAAUGAGAAGCCCGCGAACUGCAAUGAAGAAUAGCUCCUGCUCACCGCAACUAGAGAAAGCCCGUGCACAGCAAGAAAGACCCAACGCAGCCAAAAAUAAAUAAAUAAAA